ACUCUGAUUGUGUGCUUGCUGUAAAUAUGGACAAAAAGCAAACUUCUUCAAUUGGAAAUUGGUGGCUUUUAGGUGGGUAUACAGAUAGCAAUCUAUAUCCAUAAAGGUCCUCCAUACAUAU
rnacentral:snoRNA from 1 species